UACGGAGGGGGCUAGCGUUGUUCGGAAUUACUGGGCGUAAAGCGUACGUAGGCGGCUUUGUAAGUUAGAGGUGAAAGCCCGGGGCUCAACUCUGGAAUUGCCUUUAAGACUGCAUCGCUUGAAUCAUGGAGAGGUGAGUGGAAUUCCGAGUGUAGAGGUGAAAUUCGUAGAUAUUCGGAAGAACACCAGUGGCGAAGGCGACUCACUGGACAUGUAUUGACGCUGAGGUACGAAAGCGUGGGGAGCAAACAGG
rnacentral:rRNA from 1 species